rnacentral:tRNA from 1 species
GAGGGUAUAGCUCAGUGGUAUAGAGUGCAUGGAGUCCUGGGUUCAAUCCCCAGUACCUCUA